GCUCUUUUUUGGUUCCAUAUGAACUUUAAAGUAGUUAUUCAAUUCUGUGAAGAAAGUCAAUGGUAGCUUGUUGGGGAUAGCACUGAAUUUGUAAAUUACUUUGGGCAGUAUGGCCAUUUUCACAAUAUUGAUUCUUCCUAUCCAUGAGCAUAGAAUGUUCUUCCAUUUGUGUGUGUCCUUUCUUAUUUCAUUGAACAGUGGUUUGUAGUUCUCCUUGAAGAGGUCCUUCACAUCCUCUGUAAGUUGUAUUCCUAGGUAUUUUAUUGUCUUUGCAGCAGUUGUGAAUGGGAGUUCACUCAUGAUUUGGCUCUCUGUUUGUCUGUUAUUGGUGUAGAGGUAUGCUUGUGAUUUUUGCACACUGACUUUGUAUCCUGAGACUUUGCUGAAGUUGCUUAUCAGCUUAAGGAGACUUUGGGCUGAGACUAUGGGGUUUUCUAAAUAUACAAUCAUGUUGAUCUAAUAUUGACAGUGGGGUGUUAAAGUCUCCCACCAUUAUUGCGUGGGAAUCUAAGUCUCUUUGUAGGUCUCUAAGAACUUUAUAAAUCUGGGUGCUCCUGUAUUGGGUACAUAUAUAUUUAGGAUAGUUAGCUCUUCUUGUUGCAUUGAUCCCUUUACCAUUAUGUAAUGGCCUUCUUUGUCCCUCUUGAUCUUUGUUGGUUUAAAGAAGUCUGUUUUAUCAGAAACUAGGAUUGCAACCCCUGCUUUUAUUUUUGCUUUUCAUUUGCUUGGUAAAUAUUCCUCCAUCCCUUUAUUUUGAGCAUGUGUGUGUCUUUGCAUGUGAGAUGCAUCUCCUGAAUACACCACACUGAUGGGUCUUGACUCUUUGUCCAGUUUGCCAGUCUAUGUCUUUUAAUUGGGGCAUUUAGCGCAUUUAUAUUUAAGGUUAAUGUUGUUAUGUGUGAAUUUGAUCCUGCCAUUAUGAUGCUGGCUGGUUAUUUUGCCCGUUAGUUGAUGCAGUUUCUUCAUACCGUCAAUGGCCUUUACAAUUUGGUAUGUUUUUGCAAUGGCUGGUACUGGUUGUUCAUUUCCAUGUUUAGUGCUUCCUUCAGGAACUCUUGUAAGGCAGGCCUGGUGGUGACAAACAUCUCAGCAUUUGCUUGUCUGUAAAGGACUUUAUUUCUCCUUUGCUUAUGAAGCUUGGUUUGGCUGGAUAUGAAAUUCUGGGUUGAAAAUUCUUUAAGAAUGUUGAAUAUGGGCCCCCACUCUCUUCUGGCUUGUAGAGUUUCUGCUGAGAGAUCCACUGUUACUCUGAUGGGCUCCCCUUUGUGGGUAACCCGACCUUUCUCUCUGGCCGCCCUUAACAUUUUUUCCUUCAUUUCAACUUUGGUGGAUCCGACAAUUAUGUGUCUUGGAGUUGCUCUUCUCAAGGAGUAUCUUGGUGGCGUUCUCUGUAUUUCCUGAAUUGAAUGUUGGCCUGCCUUGCUAGGUUGGGGAAGUUCUCCUAAAUAAUAUCCUGAAGAGUGUUUUCCAACUUGGUUCCAUUCUCCCUGUGGCUUUCAGGUACACCAGUCAAAUGUAGAUUUGGCCUUUUCACGUAGUCCCAUAUUUCUUGGAGGCUUUGUUUGUUUCUUUUCACUCUUUUUUCUCUAAUCUUGUCUUCUUGCUUUAUUUCAUUGAGUUGAUCUUCAGUCUCUGAUACCCUUUCUUCCACUUGAUCAAUUCGGCUACUGAUACCUGUGUAUGCUUUAUGAAGUUCUCGUGCUGUUGUUUUCAGCUCUAUCAGGUCAUUUAUAUUCUUCUGUAAACUAGUUAUUCUAGUUAGCAAUUCAUCUAACCUUUUUUCAAGGUUCUUAGCUUCCUUCCAUUGGGUUAGAACAUACACUCCUUUAGCUUGGAGGAGUUUGUUAUUACCCACCUUCUGAAGCUUACUUCUGUCAAUUUGUCAAACUCAUUCUCUGUCCAGUUCUGUUCCCUUG
rnacentral:lncRNA from 1 species